UGCCUCCUCGAAGUGAUGAUAAUGAAGAUUUCAGUUCUGCUCUGACGUUCUGUGAACAAACCAUUUGAGCUUGGGUCGUCUUGCUCAGAAAGCCAUCCGGAUUCUGAAGAGGAGUAGUAACUUGCUUGAUCAUUCAGCAGGGAGAGUUAUUCCUUAUCCCUUUUUCAUGUGAAGUGACUUCAAGAAUAUGGGGGUAUAAGCAUUUAAUGUAUAACUUACCGACAUCUAAAGGGCCAAGUACAGAUCAGAUGUAUUGUAUUCUCUUUCUUGAUUUCUUUUAUAAUAGUUUGUCUCCUAAGGUGCAUCCUGAUUUUUAUAUAAUGUAGAUACAUGCGCACACACCAUUCCAACACUGAUUUCAUCAGGUCUUAAAGAGCACCUGCCUUGCUCUCUUGUUUCCAGCUCAAUGUCUUAGGGCAGUAAAAAGGAGGGAGUAGACCAUUUCCAAAGAGGGAGAAGUGGUAGGAGACAGGAGGAGGGAAAACAACAAGCCAGAGGGGAUAACUGAUUUGCUCCCCUCUUUCCCUCCUCAUGUCCAUCUCUGUUUUUCGCCUCUCCGCCCUCUUCCACGGUUCACGGUGAAUUUGAAAUGCUCUUACUGCGGUUGCUACUGCCCCUGCUGACUCGCUGAUCCCUCACCCUGUGGAUUUGUCUCCCGUGGAGUCUCCUUGCUUCCUGCAGUGCCAGGUCCGCAGAGCAGCGGAACGGCAGUAACAAUAUGUGUCUGUUCGUCUUACUGCAGAGCACACAAUACGUAUACGUAUAUAGGCACAGUACUGCAGUUGCAUUUGUACAAGGCAGCAGCUGGGUUAAGAGCUGUUGCUUGGGAGAAUGAGAUCGAUCUUGGAAUAACUGUGCUCGUGCCCAGAGAGCGGUACCUUCCACAGCAGGGUGGACUAUCAGACCACCUCCUGCAAGGUCAUUCAGCUGUCCCACCAUCAACCACUAACAGCUGCAAUUUCCCUUCACUUAAUUUCAACCCAUCGCUCCUUUUAAAGCCUGUGUCCCUGCUCAAGAAGAACUCCCACUGGAAACUUUUGAACCAAGUGGGAAGAUUGUCUCGGCCUGUUCCUGUCCUGUGAAUAGAUAAUGCUGGAGUGUGGAAGGCUAUCUGUCGCUUUUCAUCAGCAUUAAGUUCACUGAAACAAAAAUAGUAAUGGCUAGCCUAUCUCUGACUUUUCACGUUCAGCCUAGGUUGAUGAGGCUGCUCACUGAAAGAGGUACGGUGAUCUAAUGGUUGUAGCAGAGAAGACCAGGAGUCGGGUCACAUAGUGGUUGAGUGAGGCAGAGGGGGACAGCGUGCCACAUUGAGUGGGCAUGAGUUACACAUCUCCUCACGUGGAAAUCUCAACCCAAGCUUCAGAAGUUCACCCAGUUCAAUUCUCUCUCUGUGCUACUGCUUGUUACACCAGAUCCCCAGGUCCUGUGCCUGGCUCUACUAUUAACUCAUUAUAUUACCUUGUGUGUAAUUCACAUUUCCUCAGUGUCUUAGUCUCCCCCCUGUAAAAUGGGGGUUUUUCCUUUCAGAGGUGUUGAGAAAAUUAGGGUCUGAUCCUCAGUUAACACUAUUUCUGGGAAUGGAUGGAGGAUGGUGCCCUUAAAGCUACCUUUGUCUCUGUAUUCUGGGAUCAUUGAGGAGCCUGUGUGGGUUGCAGUGUAAAUUACAGCAGCCUCAGGGCUACUUCGACAUAUGCUCUGCUUUCCAUGGCCCCCUGUGGGCCCUGGGAAGAAGAAAAUAGCUUUAACAUGGUGGACUCUGGUCCUGCCUCCAGUCUGCCAUCUGUACUGAGCCAGUACAGAGUGUUUAUGCCAGCUAGGAAGUCCCUGUGUAGGGGUAAUUCUCGAGGUGGGUUCUGCCCAAUUUAAGGCCCCUUCAUGCUACCAGAGUGUUGCAAAGGGAAGUUAAUGUCCAUGAAGCCCUUAGGUCCUGAAAGAGGCUGUGUACAUGCAGAGCAUUAUUGGAGCUGGCUGAAAAGUGUGAAAAAAUACAUUUGUGGAAGUUCCACACCCACCCUCUGUUUUUCGCUGAAAACUUUUCUGCAGAAAUAUUCCAGAUAGAUCUAAUUGGUUAUAUAUUUCUCAGAGAGGGGUGUGUAGAUACUGUGUGUGCACACGCUUACUUCGUUAGGGUGAAUUCUGCCUACACGUAGUUUCUGUUUCCCAGGCAACUGCUAACCUAUUGCAGAAUCGUGAACUGUUCUGAUUUUUUCUUCUUUAUAUUUCCCCUUCCCCAGUGCUGCCUGACCUCAUGGACAUCCUGUAUUAGAUGCCCAAGCAAGCCACAGACUUUGGAAAGAACAGCAUCAGCUAUCAGAGAUUCCUCUUUCAUGAAAGGAAACUUGGUGCAGUUUGACAAAGGGACACAAUAUGUGAAACUAACAAGGAUGCUCAGAGUUAAGAAACAGAAGAAAGGCUGAAGAUAAGAAGCCACUGAAAUUAGGAUUCCAGAGACAAAAAGGGCACUUCCUGUUUGCACUGCUGAAAGUGCACAUCCUCAUUGGUCCAUCCAGUCAGCCUCUAGUCUAACCAGCAGAUCCUGCAUCAUCCUUGGAAGACAUCCAAGACAAGACCAUAGCUGGUGGGGAUGAAGAGUGCCCACAAGGCGGAACAGAAGCCAUGGAGUCUUUUUGCUCCAAGACACAUUUUCUUAGAUCACCUUGAAUAUGGAAUGCGAUUGUUUCCUGAUGAUUCUGAGGACUAGGAUGUGAGAUGUAUGGAAUCGUGAGUGCUAUGCCUUGUUGUCUUUCUGAGUGCAGGGUAACCAGGAAAUGCUCCAUGAUAGCAUUCUGCAAAAGGUCUGGCUAAUUAUAUUUGAGAUA